rnacentral:rRNA from 1 species
UACGGGGGGAGCAAGCGUUGUUCGGAUUUACUGGGCGUAAAGGGCGCGUAGGCGGUCAGCACAAGUCAGUUGUGAAAUCUCCGAGCUUAACUCGGAAAGGUCAACUGAUACUGUGCGACUAGAGUGCGGAAGGGGCAACUGGAAUUCUUGGUGUAGCGGUGAAAUGCGUAGAUAUCAAGAGGAACACCUGAGGUGAAGACGGGUUGCUGGGCCAACACUGACGCUCAUGCACGAAAGCGUGGGGAGCAAACAGG